GCAAUGUGCCCCGGUACCCCGCUCAAUCUAUGUCGUGACCCACGGUGACAUCUGAUGAGCUGUCAAAACGCACAAAAUUGCGAUGCCCAUUGAAAUAUGACACUCGGCAUAUUAUGUUGUGACCUAUAGUGACGUACUUCUAAUAAACUGUCACAGCGUGACUCACAGCAAGUGAUAUUUUACGGAGGCAACGAGGGCACUGGGCAAUAUGACCCUAGUGACCCCACAAGCAUAAGUCGUGACCCACGGUGACGAUUGUGGUACCCACGGUGGUGAAGAGCUGUCUAAGAGUGUCUCUCAGCAAGUAAUCACAAGGCAGUGUGACCAUAGUGACCCCACAAGCAUAAGUCGUGACCCACGGUGACGAUUGUGGUACCCACGGUGGUGAAGAGCUGUCUAAGAGUGACUCUCAGCAAGUAAUCACAAGGCAGUGUGACCAUAGUGACCCCACAAGCAUAAGUCGUGACCCACGGUGACGAUUGUGGUACCCACGGUGGUGAAGAGCUGUCUAAGAGUGACUCUCAGCAAGUAAUCACAAGGCAGUGUGACCAUAGUGACCCCACAAGCAUAAGUCGUGACCCACGGUGACGAUUGUGGUACCCACGGUGGUGAAGAGCUGUCUAAGAGUGUCUCUCAGCAAGUAAUCACAAGGCAGUGUGACCAUAGUGACCCCACAAGCAUAAGUCGUGACCCACGGUGACGAUUGUGGUACCCACGGUGGUGAAGAGCUGUCUAAGAGUGACUCUCAGCA